AACCAACAUGCGAAGCAAUCCAUGCGCAUCGAUCAUCACUUACUCAGAGGGACUGACUACGUCUAUUCUACCGGAUGUUUUGGCAAAUAACAGGUCUGUGAUGCCCUUAAAUGUUCUGGGCUGCACGCUCGCUACACUGACAGAGGCAGCGAGUAUACAACCUUGACCGGAAGGUCUGGGCAAUCUUAUGAAACUCUGUCGUGCUGGGGAUAGAGCAUUGCAAUUAUUGCUCUUCAACGAGGAAUUCCUAGUAAGCGCAUGUCAUCAGCAUGCGUUGAUUACGUCCCUGCCCUUUGUACACACCGCCCGUCGCUACUACCAUUGGAAUGGCUAG
rnacentral:rRNA from 1 species